GACGAACGCUGGCGGCGUGCUUAACACAUGCAAGUCGAGCGGUAAGGCCCUUUCGGGUCGUACACGAGCGGCGAACGGGUGAGUAACACGUGGGUGACCUGCCCUCAGCUCUGGGAUAAGCCUGGGAAACCGGGUCUAAUACCGGAUAUGACUCCAUGACGCAUGUUGUGGGGNGGAAAGCCUUGUGCGGCUGAGGAUGGGCCCGCGGCCUAUCAGC
rnacentral:rRNA from 1 species